GAUGAACGCUGGCGGCGUGCCUAAUACAUGCAAGUCGAGCGAACAGACGAGGAGCUUGCUCCUCUGACGUUAGCGGCGGACGGGUGAGUAACACGUGGAUAACCUACCUAUAAGACUGGGAUAACUUCGGGAAACCGGAGCUAAUACCGGAUAAUAUAUUGAACCGCAUGGUUCAAUAGUGAAAGACGGUUUUGCUGUCACUUAUAGAUGGAUCCGCGCCGCAUUAGCUAGUUGGUAAGGUAACGGCUUACCAAGGCAACGAUGCGUAGCCGACCUGAGAGGGUGGACCGCCACACUGGAAAUGAGACACGGUCCAGAAUCCUAAGGGAGGCAGCAGGAGGGAAUCUUCCGCAAAGGGCGAAAGCCUGACGGAGCAACGCCGCGUGAGUGAUGAAGGUCUUCGGAUCGUAAAACUCUGUUAUUAGGGAAGAACAAAUGUGUAAGUAACUAUGCACGUCUUGACGGUACCUAAGCAGAAAGCCACGGCUAACUACGU
rnacentral:rRNA from 1 species